AGCUGCGUGGUGAGCACAAAGUGAACUAUUCUUUCGCCUUUUACUAAAGAAUACCGUGUGCAUGCCACACUAAGCAGCAUAUCUUAACACUAUAUUAAUAUAUAACUACAUAUUA
rfam:Triticum aestivum genome assembly, contig: Triticum_aestivum_CS42_TGACv1_scaffold_225362_3B